rnacentral:misc_RNA from 1 species
UCCGGGUUAAAUUUGUAAAAAAUUUGUUAAUUUUAAUUUAUCACAAAAUUUAAGUAUAAUUUCAAGGCUCAGAAGACGCCUGAAGACGCCUGAAGACGCCUGGAACAACGUAAUUUUAGCAUCACAAGGAAUGCGUACAGACAAGCUUUGUUCGUAGCUCUGCAUGGGUAGAUUUUUGGUUAAAGUGGAAUCAUAACGCCAACAAUAGACAACAUCUGAUUAAAAGCAAAAGUCAGUCAGUGUGAUAUUGAAAUAGCGCGCCGUAGCAUUGCUGCGAAAAGCAGGAUGCUAUUUCGCGGCGUGCAGGUCCUGCAGCGAAGACACCAGCAGUUCAGCAGAGCUAUUAAUCACUUUUCUGUGCGACGUGACUCCGGCAAAAGUUGGAUGCAAAAUGACUCCGAACUCAUCAGGCCCCAAGCGUGGACUCGUCCUGGCAUGUUCAUCCAGUUUCGGUGUACUGCUGGAGGCAGCGAUUCCACUAAAAAAGAGAAGGCGCUGGAAUCGAAGGAGGAGACCACUGAGGCCAAGCCGAAUGCUAGACAAACAAAAAACUUCGAGGUGAAAACUUCCAAGGGGAUCCUAAACAUUAGCACGACAAUUGAAGACUCGAAGAUCAAUGAGAUUGUAUUUGAGAAAUCCGACACAACGAACAUUAAUUUAAAGUCCAAUGCAAGUGCAACAGUAGGAGGAGGAGCCGAUAGUACCACGGGAUCCGAAACCCCGCAUAGCUCCCCCACAUCUUCUCCGAAGUCAUCGCCACCUGUUAAGGACACCAAGGUCAGUCCAACACCACCACCUGCAGAGACUCCACCUGCCGUCACACCCACACCAAAGCGCGCUCGCUUUGAUUAUCGCGCCUCACUAGAGCGUAACUUUGUGACUCCUGGAAGAGCAAUUGCAGAUUUUAUGUUAACGGCUGCUGACCUGGACUCUCUAUCGAAGAUCAAGAGGAGAUCUCCAUACGAACAAGAGCCUCCCAUGACCGUCUACUGGCGACGAGAUGUCGAGGCAAAAGCUGUGGAAGUAUGGGGCUCCAAGGAGAACCUUCUGCGUGAGCGUCUCAAGCGCGAGGUGGAGCGCAAACAGUACCAGCAGAAUUUGUUCACUGUUAAACGCCGCCUGCGCGACUAUCGUCGGGAGAUUGGUUCUCGCACCAAAAUUAUGAUGGAUAAUCAAACAGAGUCAGAGAAAUCUGCUCAAGUAGUCGCCACCGCAAUUGCCAUCAAUGCAGCUAAUUUGCUCUUCAAGGCAGGUGGAUGGUUUUACAGUGGCUCCCAUAGCAUGUUUGCCGAGGUCAUUCACUCACUGGCGGAUCUUAUUAACCAGCUUAUCCUCGCGUUUGGCAUCUACAAGUCCUCGCAGAGUCCUGAUACCGACCAUCCCUAUGGUUACAUGAACAUGCGAUAUGUGUCUUCGCUGAUCUCAGGCGUGGGCAUCUUUUGUGUCGGCUGUGGCCUGUCCAUCUAUCAUGGUAUAGAGGGCAUUCUCCAUCCACAGCCCAUCGCCGAUCUCUUCUGGGUCUACUGCAUUCUGAUGGGAUCGCUGGUCUCCGAAGGAGCUACCCUGAUGGUUGCCAUAAAUGAGUUGAAGCGUGCGGCCCGUGUAAAUAACGUGAGCUUCAAGGAAUACGUUAUUUCUGGCAAGGAUCCCUGCGUGAAUGUGGUGCUCUGCGAGGAUGCUGCUGCCGUGACUGGUGUCAUAGUAGCCGGCACCUGCAUGGGACUGAGCAGCUAUACGGGCUCACCUAUUUUUGACGCCGCAGGAUCGCUUGUUAUUGGCGGUCUUCUGGGCGCUGUGGCCUCUUUCAUUAUAUACACCAAUGCCAAUGCUCUGGUGGGUGUCUCCAUUUCAACCGACCGUCUUGAGAAGAUCAACACUGCGUUGGAGGCUGAUGUAAUGAUCCGAGCCAUCUAUGAUGUCAAGGGCAUUGACAUUGGUAAUGCUCGUGUGCGCUAUAAGGCUGAGCUUGACUUUGAUGGUCGCGAGUUGACGCGCUCGUAUCUGGACAAGCAGGAUCUCGCCAAGCUACUAACGACUGUUCGUGGGUUCCAAAAGGUGGACGAUCUGGAGACCUUCCUGCUCGCCCAUGGCGAAAACAUUGUGGACCUGAUGGGCGGUGAGAUCGAUCGCAUUGAAAUGAAUCUGCGGACGCAAUUUCCGGAAAUUCGACACGUGGACCUUGAAAUACUCUAGGACAGGUUCCAUACCUUGUGGGACUGUUGAAUACAAACAAAAAGCAUUAGUAUCAUUAACAUUAAAUGUGUUGGGCCUGGAUAUUUCUAAAGUCGUCUGGCUGAAGUGAAGGAUACCCGGCUAUGAGUUUGUUGUUGAAUUAAGUGUGCUUUUUUAAUCCCAUGCCCCGUUGAAACCAGUGAGAGCUAUGUACUAUAAUAAUAUAAAUAUAAAUGCAAUUAACUAUAA